GACGAACGCUGGCGGCGUGCUUAACACAUGCAAGUCGAGCGGAGCGGCGAACGGGUGAGUAACGCGAGAGUAACUGCCCCCCUUUCUGGGAUAACAGUUGGAAACGGUUGCAAAUACAGGAUAGUGGGGGAUGACUCGCGUCUAAUCAGCGUGUUGGGCGGGUAGUGGCCUACCAAGGCGGCGACGGGUAGCCGGCCUGAGCGGGCGUACGGCGACAUUGAGCUCGGAUACUGCCCAAACUCAUACGGGAGGCAGUAGUGGGGAAUAUUGCAGAAUGGGGGAAAACCUGAUGCAGCACCGCCGCGUGCGGGAUGACGGGCUUCGGGUUGUAAACCGCUUUGAGCCAUGACGCGGUAGUGGCAGAAGAAGCACCGGCUAACUACGUGCCAGCAGCCGCGGUAAUAC
rnacentral:rRNA from 1 species